GAACAUUUGGAAUUUGGAAAGCUGAAUCCACUGGAAAUGGAAACCUCUCCAAAGGACAAGUAAAGUGGUGCACAAUGGGAAAACAGCACUGGAAGUGAUUGAUUGCAAAAAGUGGAAGAUAUAUUACAUAAUCAUAUGCUGGGAGAGGGAACAGGCAACAUUACUUGGUUUCCAUUUCAAAUAAAUAGACGGUGGAACAAUCAAGAAACUGCCAAAGUAAAUUAAUUCAGCAUGAUUGGAACACCAGCACAUCACUGCCUCAGAGAAGGUUUCUGUCACAAGUUGCAGCAUCAGCAGUGCAAGACACAGAUCUUCUGUUUUAUUUCUCACUUCCUGAGCAAUACUCUGCUCUCUGUUAUUCUAACUGACAACUGGAGGAAUGCUGUUUUUCUAAUAGAUGCAUACUUCAUAAUGAAAUACCCAAUUCUUCAGAAAUCACAGUUGCAUGAAGCUGACUUCAGCUGGGAGUACAGCUAUCUGUCAUCCUUCGCACUGGACUACGUGAUGUGAGAGGUCUCCAUAAAAGUCAGCUCCCGUCGUGCUCUCUCUGCUCAUUUGAGGUUGGCUGUUACUGGUGUUUGGAGCAGCAAUGGUCAUAUCUCUGAGCUGCCAACUGAAGGGACACAUCUCCUUUGCUCAGAGAAUUCUGUGACAUCUACAAAGGUAAAGAAGCAUUUUGGAAUUUCUCUGCAAGCACAGACUCAGCUCAGUCUGGCAGAAUAACACCACUGAUCUUCAGCAGACCCACUUGCAGGAGUGGGAGCAAUGCCCAAGCAUUCUCUCUCUGUCUUUGGGAUGCAACCUGGAAGUGUUUAUCCACGAAAAAUGUCAUGGAACUUGGUUUAAGUAACCAUGUAUUUUAAGGCCUAUAUAUCUUAUUAAUCAAUAACGAGGCUGUAAAGUGUAGAGUGCAUGGAGUUGACUGGCUGUAGCUUGCAGCUUAUAGAAUCUGUUAUUCUGGGUGGCAACAGCACUAACUAGAAAUAUUUAAAUAAUCACAUGUAUUUUAGUGUAUCUACUCCACUCUUAAAAUUGAACACCUGAACAAUUCUUCUAAAGGACUUUCUCCAUCUCAUUGCACACUGGCUUAGAGAAUGUCUCAACACUUAAUAAAUACUGUGGACUUUUUAAACCAUACUUUGCACUCUUAAAACAUUGUGCAAGCAUUGUCUAGCAACAUCUGGAAUAUCUGGAGAGAUCAAAGUUCAUUAUAUAUGCCUCUUACCCUUAUUUAGUGGCUCUAAUUUCAGUCCUUCUGGAGAUAAGGAACACACUGAGCAGGUUGCCACUCCCACAUAGUUGUUUUGUUGCUACCAACUUGAUUCUUUUGUUCAAACUGGAGCAAUCGAGAAGGUUAUUCUUAAUAAAAGCAACAACUGUG
rnacentral:lncRNA from 12 species